UACGUAGGGUGCGAGCGUUGUCCGGAAUCACUGGGCGUAAAGGGCGCGUAGGCGGCCUGAUAAGUAGGGGGUGAAAUCCUGCGGCUUAACCGCAGGGCUGCCUUCUAAACUGUCAGGCUCGAGCACAGUAGAGGCAGGUGGAAUUCCCGGUGUAGCGGUGGAAUGCGUAGAGAUCGGGAAGAACAUCAGUGGCGAAGGCGGCCUGCUGGGCUGUUGCUGACGCUGAGGCGCGACAGCGUGGGGGAGCAAACAGG
rnacentral:rRNA from 1 species